rnacentral:rRNA from 1 species
GACGAACGCUGGCGGCGUGCCUAAUACAUGCUAGUAGAACGCAGUUACGAACGGGUGAGUAACGCGUAGGUAAUUGUCUCAUAGUGGGGGAUAACUUUUGGAAACGAUAGCUAAUACCGCAUACUGUGAGAUGGAUCUGCGUUGUCUUAGCUAGUUGGUGAGGUAAUAGCCCACCAAGGCGACGAUACAUAGCCGACCUGAGCGGGUGAUAGGCCUGACUGGGACUGAGACACGGCCCAGACUCCUACGGGAGGCAGCAGUAGGGAAUCUUCGGCAAUGGACGGAAGUCUGACCGAGCAAUGUCGCGUGAGUGAAGAAGGUUUUGGGAUGGGAAAGCUCUAUUGUUAGAAAGGCGGUAACUAACCAGAAAGGGACGGCAAACUACGUGCCAGCCGCCGCGGUAAUUC